AUGAAGUGCCUGGUGCUUUUCCUUGCCCUAGUGGCCGCCCCAGACGGUGCUUGCUCUCAGGUGCAGCUGAUCCCGUCCGGGCCCGGCGCGGUGAAACCCAGAGAGACCCUGACCUUGAGCUGCGCCAUCAGUGGUGACUCUGUCACCAGUAAUUGGUGGGACUGGAUCCGACAGGCUCCAGGGAAAGGGCUGGAGUGGGUAGGAGAGAUCGACUGGAGUGACUCUAAGUGGCGCAUAAACUAUGGCCCGGCUUUCCAGAGCCGCGCAACGCUCAGCGCGGAUACCUCCAAGAACCAGUUCUCUCUGCAGCUCUGCUCGCUGACAGCUACAGACACCACCACCUAUUACUGCGCCAGGGCCACA